rnacentral:rRNA from 1 species
UACGUAGGGGGCAAGCGUUGUCCGGAUUUAUUGGGCGUAAAGAGCGUGUAGGCGGCCUUACAGGUCAGCUGUGAAAACUCGAGGCUCAACCUCGAGACGUCGGUUGAAACCGUAUGGCUAGAGUCCGGAAGAGGAGAGUGGAAUUCCUGGUGUAGCGGUGAAAUGCGCAGAUAUCAGGAGGAACACCCGUGGCGAAAGCGGCUCUCUGGGACGGUACUGACGCUGAGACGCGAAAGCGUGGGGAGCAAACAGG